rnacentral:rRNA from 1 species
GAUGAACGCUGGCGGCGUGCCUAAUACAUGCAAGUCGAGCGAACAGACGAGGAGCUUGCUCCUCUGACGUUAGCGGCGGACGGGUGAGUAACACGUGGAUAACCUACCUAUAAGACUGGGAUAACUUCGGGAAACCGGAGCUAAUACCGGAUAAUAUAUUGAACCGCAUGGUUCAAUAGUGAAAGACGGUUUUGCUGUCACUUAUAGAUGGAUCCGCGCCGCAUUAGCUAGUUGGUAAGGUAACGGCUUACCAAGGCAACGAUGCGUAGCCGACCUGAGAGAGUGAUCGGCCACACUGGAACUGAGACACGGUCCAGACUCCUACGGGAGGCAGCAGUAGGGAAUCGUCCGCAAUGGGCGAAAGCCUGACGGAGCAACGCCGCGUGAGUGAUGAAGGUCUUCGGAUCGUAAAACUCUGUUAUUAGGGAAGAACAAAUGUGUAAGUAACUAUGCACGUCUUGACGGUACCUAAUCAGAAAGCCACGGCUAACUACGUG